rnacentral:rRNA from 1 species
GACGAACGCUGGCGGCGUGCUUAACACAUGCAAGUCGAACGGAAAGGCCUCUUUCGGGGGGUACUCGAGUGGCGAACGGGUGAGUAACACGUGAGUAACCUGCCCUUGACUUUGGGAUAACUUCAGGAAACUGGGGCUAAUACCGGAUAGGAGCUCCUGCUGCAUGGUGGGGGUUGGAAAGUUUCGGCGGUUGGGGAUGGACUCGCGGCUUAUCAGCUUGUUGGUGGGGUAGUGGCUUACCAAGGCUUUGACGGGUAGCCAGCCUGAGAGGGUGACCGGCCACAUUGGGACUGAGAUACGGCCCAGACUCCUACGGGAGGCAGCAGUGGGGAAUAUUGCACAAUGGGUGGAAGCCUGAUGCAGCAACGCCGUGUGCGGGAUGACGGCCUUCGGGUUGUAAACCGCUUUCGCUCAUGACGAAGCUUUGUGUGACGGUAGUGGGUAAAGAAGCACCGGCUAACUACGUG